rnacentral:ncRNA from 1 species
UAAAAGCUUGGUCCUGGCUUUACUAUCGUCUCUAACCAGAAUUAUACAUGCAAGUCUCCGCAUUCCUGUGAGAAUGCCCUCAAUCUCCUGAUGGAGACGAGGAGCCGGUAUCAGGCACGCCCCACCAAAAGGGCAGCCCAAAACGCCUUGCUCAGCCACACCCCCAAGGGAAUUCAGCAGUGAUAAAUAUUAAGCCAUAAGUGAAAACUUGACUUAGUUAAGGUUAUAUAGGGUCGGCCAACCUCGUGCCAGCUGCCGCGGUUACACGAGGGACUCAAGUUGAUAGACAACGGCGUAAAGCGUGGUUACGGACUUCCUCCAACUAAAGUCAAACACCCCCUUAAACUGUCAUACGCGUCCGGGGAACGGAUGUCCUUCCACGAAAGUGACUUUAACACUGCUCCCGAACCCACGAGAGCUAGGAAACAAACUGGGAUUAGAUACCCCAUUAUGCCUAGCCGUAAACUUUGAUAGAGUACUACACCCCCUAUCCGCCCGGGAACUACAAGCACGAGCUUCAAACCCAAAGGACUUGGCGGUGCUUCAGACCCACCUAGAGGAGCCUGUCCUAGAACCGAUACCCCCCGUUCAACCUCACCACCCCUGGCCAGUCCCGCCUAUAUACCGCCGUCGUCAGCUUACCCUUUGAAGGCAUAGCACAGUAAGCAAAACAGGCAUUGCCCCAAACGUCAGGUCGAGGUGUAGCGUAUGGGGUGGGAAGAGAUGGGCUACAUUCUCUAUAUUAGAGAAAACGAAUGGCACAGUGAAAGGUGUGCCUAAAGGCGGAUUUAGCAGUAAGAAGAAAAAAUGAGAGUUCUUCUGAAGCCGGCUCUGGAGCGCGCACACACCGCCCGUCACUCUCCCCAAAAUUGCCAUUAAACUUUCCAUAAGAAAAGAAAAAAUUAAAGGGGAGGCAAGUCGUAACAUGGUAAGUGUACCGGAAGGUGCACUUGGACAAAC